CUCUCUCUUUCUCUCUCUCUCUCUUCUCUCCAUCAGAGCCCAACCUUCCCUGUUGGAGCCCAUUCCCUCUUAUCAUCUUCUCUCUUCCUUCCUCUCUCUCCCAAUCUUCAUCAGCAAUGGCAGCCCCAAACCCCAUUGACGACGAAGCCGUUGCAAAAGAGGAACAAUGGGGCUGCAAAAGGGAACAAUGGUGUUCAACAAAGAAAUAAUCCGGUAUACAUACGGUUCAGGUGGAGCAAUAGCAAGUUGCAAGUCAUUGUUGGUACGGUAGCAUUUGGAAUGGGAAUCAACAAACCAGAUGGGCUUUGAUUCGCAUCGAUUCCAGAAGCUCAGUUCAAAGUUUGACUAAAUCGAUUCCAAAAGUUUAAUUCAAGCCAAGAGAUCAUCAAGUGUGGUUGCACUUUUAUGGGUGAGCAAGGUGAUGCAUUGAAGAUGUAUAGUAGUAUGGUUACCCUUCAAACUAUGGACAACAUCUUCUACGAAGCACAAAGGCAAGGAAGAAUGUCCUUCUAUUGCACCUCAUAUGGAGAAGAUGCUAUCAACAUUGUAUCAGCUGCUGCACUCACCCAAGACGAUAUUAUCUUGCCUCAGCUUAUACGACUUGAUCGUAAUUUCAAUGCUUCAGUCAUUCAUCUUCAACUCUCAUAAAUAGAAUGAUUUGAAGCCAACUUCAUAUCCAUAGAAGAUAAAACUCCAGCCCAAACCCCAGAAAUGUGUCAGCUUUGAAGACCAUGCAAUUAUUUUGAUUUCAGCUUUUCAUACUUUCUUUUAGACCCCUCCAUGUGAUGGAUAGGUUUUCAAUAAUUGGUUGGAUAUAUUAGGAAGUCCACGAUAGAGAAUGAUGUAAACAGACAUGUAUAAUGCAAUGCAGUAUAGGGAACAUGGUGUUCCGUUGUGGCGUCGUUUCACCUUGCAAGAAUUUGCCAACCAAUGUUUUGUGAACAAGGCUGAAUUUGCCAAUUCAUUAUGGG